CCUGGGAAGGCCUCGUGUUGCAACCC
rnacentral:rRNA from 1 species